GACGAACGCUGGCGGCGUGCCUAAUACAUGCAAGUCGAACGCUUUUUCUUUCACCGGAGCUUGCUCCACCGAGAGAAAAGGAGUGGCGGACGGGUGAGUAACACGUGGGUAACCUGCCCAUAAGAGGGGGAUAACAUUCGGAAACGGAUGCUAAUACCGCAUGAACAUGAACACCGCAUGGUGUCUAUGUGAAAGGUGGCUUCGGCUACCACUUAUGGAUGGACCCGCGCCGUAUUAGUUAGUUGGUGAGGUAACGGCUCACCAAGACGAUGAUACGUAGCCGACCUGAGAGGGUGAUCGGCCACACUGGGACUGAGACACGGCCCAAACUCCUACGGGAGGCAGCAGUAGGGAAUCUUCGGCAAUGGACGAAAGUCUGACCGAGCAACGCCGCGUGAGUGAAGAAGGUUUUCGGAUCGUAAAACUCUGUUGUUAGAGAAGAACAGGAGAAGUAGUAACUGGCUUCUUUUUGACGGUAUCUAACCAGAAAGCCACGGCUAACUACGUGCCAGCCGCCGCCGUAACAC
rnacentral:rRNA from 1 species